GAUGAACGCUAGCGGCAGGCUUAACACAUGCAAGUCGAGGGGUAUAGUUCUUCGGAACUAGAGACCGGCGCACGGGUGCGUAACGCGUAUGCAAUCUACCUUUUACAGGGGGAUAGCCCAGAGAAAUUUGGAUUAAUACCCCAUAGUAUGUUAGAGUGGCAUCAUUUUAACAUUAAAGUUCCAACGGUAAAAGAUGAGCAUGCGUCCCAUUAGCUAGAUGGUAAGGUAACGGCUUACCAUGGCGACGAUGGGUAGGGGUCCUGAGAGGGAGAUCCCACACACUGGUACUGAGACACGGACCAGACUCCUACGGGAGGCAGCAGUGAGGAAUAUUGGACAAUGGGCGCAAGCCUGAUCCAGCCAUGCCGCGUGCAGGAAGACGGUCCUAUGGAUUGUAAACUGCUUUUGUACAGGAAGAAACACUCCCUCGUGAGGGAGCUUGACGGUACUGUAAGAAUAAGGAUCGGCUAACUCCGUGCCAGCAGCCGCGGUAAAAC
rnacentral:rRNA from 1 species